AGGCGAGGCGGCGGGUGAGGGCAGCGGUGGUGGCGGGUGGUUGAUUUGGAGUAGCGAGGCGGGAGGUGGUCUUCUCCUGGUCUUCUGGUCGUCGUUUUCUUUGCCUCCGUGUUCAAGAGCCAAGAAUGGAAGCUGUUGGGUUUCCGUUCUCGUCCUGUGGUGCUGAAGACUAAUCGGUUUGCUGUGAAGGGGCGUUCAUGUGAUGGUGUCUACUACUACUACUACUACUACUACUACUACUACUACUACUACUACUACUACUACUACUGCUACCAAGAACAGUUUAACAUCACGUCUUAUGUCUCUGAAAAGCAAGCCAGGUGGAGUGUUACUAAUAUCACCACCACCUCCACCACUGCCACUACCACUAACACCACAUUACCACCUCUACGCCACCACCAACGAAACUCCACUAACUGUUCCACCAAGCCUCCAGCACCCACCAAACACCACCCACCACCCACCAAACCGUCACCAUCACCAGGCAUCUCACCACCACCAGCCCGCCCACUGUUCCCGCCCACAGGACAUCCCGCCGACAUCCGCCCACUGCCCAACGUUUUCCCUCACCCCCGCCCUCCUCGCCCCUGCCCACUGCCGCCCGUCACGCCCCACACUACCCAGCCCAGAGUAAGUGUCCACAGGUGAGACGAGGCAGGUGUGACGCUGUGUUGCUGUGACGCUGUGUUGCUGUGACGCUGGGUUGCUGUGACGCUGGGUUGCUGUGACGCUGCUGUGACUCCUGAUCUCUCCCACAUCCCUCUCCCUGCCACUGCCUGCCUCCCAUUACACUGGCGGGCUGGUGACGGUGCUAAUGGGCGGAUAAUGGUACCAGUGCGUGAAUGGGUGAUAGACUAAUGUGCUAAGCCUUUAUUUCUCUAGUCCUUCAAUGGGUGUUGUCUAAUGGGUGUAUUUUUUAAUGGUGUUAUUAGUAAUAGUUCUAAUGGGUGUUGGACUAGUCUGUGUAUUUUGAAUGGUGCUUGUAGAAGUGUAGUUAAUGGUGCUUUAACUAGUGUCUAUGGUGCUAGUUAUUGAUGCUAUUAGUAAUGGUUCUAAUGGGUGUUGGACUAGUCUGCAUUUUGAAUGGUGCUAGUAGAAGUGUAGCUAAUGGUGCUUUAACUAGUGUCUAUGGUGCUAGUUAAUGGUACUAUUAGUAAUGGUUCUAAUGGGUGUUCGACUAGUCGGUAUAUUUUUAAUUGGUGCUAUUAGAAGUGUAGCUAAUUGGUUAACUAGUCUCUAUAAAGAUACUUAAUGGUGAUGGUAGUGUCCAGUGGUGCUUAGUAAUGGGUGUUGGACUAGUCAGUGCUUAUUUCAAUGGUACUGUGCUUAACUAAUCUUCUGUGUUAGUUAAUGGUGCUAAAAGUUUCCAGUGGUGCUAUUAGUAUAACUUAAUGGGUGUUGGACUAGUCUUGGUAUUGGUGCUUGUAAUGGAGGUGGUAUUGCUGCUGUUACUGGUGCUAAUGGUACUGGUGAUGUAGUGUGGUGGUGGUGGUGGUGGUGGUUGUAUUAGUUUUAAUGGGUGAUGAUAAAUGGUGGUGGUGAUAAUGGUGUUGCUUUGAAUAAAUUAAUUUGUUAUGUGUUAGUAAUAAAGUUAUUUGUUAUAA